rnacentral:lncRNA from 1 species
ACAGAGAGAACACAAAAAAACACACGAAAGAGAUCAGUUACUGAAUGUGAUUUCUAACGAGACAAUGAACAAGUACAUAAAGGGUUAUGUGAAGAAGUUCACAUCCUAUUUGGGGCUUGAACAAGUACAUAAAGGGUUAUGUGAAGAAGUUCACAUCCUAUUUGGGGCUUGAACCUAAGAAGCCUAUCCUAUGAGCCAGGACACUGACAUCUUCCUCCUCACCUUCUUCAUUUCCACUGGUACCUAAUUCAUCAUUAAAUCCAUCGCUCAAUAAUU